GAGUUACUCAUUAAAGGCUAUUAACAAAGAUGAUGGGGUCUGCAUAAGGAGUAUACAAAUAAUGGUAGUUUUCUUCUCCUCCCUUCCCUACUUUCCUGAGAGAACUGAAGUUUGAGAGUAGAAGUUCUCAGGAUUAACACCAGUGAAAAAUGGAGGAUAGCUCUUGUAGAUGUUGCUGGUGAAAGCAGAGAUGAGACCAUACAGCUCCAAACAUUGGCUGUUUCCAGGAGCACAUCUCUGCUGCCAUUUCUGAGUCAUGAUUAUAGAAAACCUCUGUAAGAGCUUGGAUGUACCACCAGCACUUGACGUGCAGCAGAUAAACUUGCAUAAGAAAGACCUGGUAAUGUCGAUAGUGAUGACAGCAAAUCAACCUUCCAUGUCGGCAUAGGGCUGAAACCAAAGAUAAAUCUACAAGAAGAGACUUCUAUGUUGAUGCCACCUCUGCAUCACCUUGGGGCCUUUCCUUGCUCCCCAGGAGCCUCAGCAAUUAUUCCUAGCACAAGGAAUUAAAGGUUGACUCUUCUAAAAGAAAGAACAGAUUUUCAUUGGAAGGGAAAAGAAAAAGAGGAAGAAAAAUGUGACUACAGAUGUACCGGUUGUAUUCAGGAGAAGUGAGGCUUAGAAGAAGCUGCUUGGCAGGAAUGGUGCUAUAAAACCCCACAUGGUCAUGAGUUGCUCCCGGAAACCAGGCAGCUGUCUAUCCAGGACAGCAUGAAAUGAAACAGGAAAGGAAGGUUCUUCUAAGGAGGCUUUCACAGUACAGUCACUCCUGGAAGGUUCUCCACCAGCCUCAAACUUGUGAAGCAGAGGAUGAAGUCCCAGACACUGGCAUCAGAAAGAAAAGCCUCUUGGCUGAAGAGCACGAUGGUGGAGUAGAAGCAAGAGGACAUCCUCUGGUCAUGCGGGAAGCUCUCAUGUCUACACAGCCUGAAUCCUCACCAUGAAAAGCUUUGAGGAGAAAGGGAGAGACUGGGGCAGAGAAAAAUGGACACAGCCUCCCAUGAGUACAGCAAAUGCCUCCACAGACUCUUUCAAAGCUCCAUAUUCACUGAUAUACACUCAGCGUCCCUCUUUUGUAUGACCUCUUGAAGUUAUCCCCACUUUGAUUUUCCGUGAUCAUAACCCAAACUUUUCCUUCUUUCUUUCUUUUUUUUUUUUUGUUGUUUUGUUUUGGUUUUGUUUUGUUUUUGGUUUCUUUGUGGAGUGAAAAGGAGGCUGACCUUCUUAAAACAGAGGAACAUUUCAGAGUUAUCCAACACAUGAAAUUAUACUUCCAAAAAUCAGAGAUGUUCUCCAGUACUCAUUAAAGCUAGCCAGAAAUGGAACUAAUAUAAACCUUGGCCAUUCUCCCAGCUGAGUGCCCUAAUAAUAGAAAUGCCCCUCUGACUGAGUAGCUGAUACUGGGGUUCUGCCAAGUCAUUUCCAUUAAAAAGAGCCAUUGGUGACAGACGUCCAGUACAAUAUCAUUGGUGGAGUCCUGCUUGUCUUUCUUAGUGCACCACUGGCAUGAGCAAGAAAAAGUCCAUUUUCCAUGUCCUGUUUUCAGUUCUCUUUCUGUAAUUAGCACUUUCCUGAUGUCUCUGCUCUUCAUGAGGUCUCUCCAAAGCCUGCUUCUCUUUACUUUCUGGUUAUGGUAUGUGCACAAACGCUACAAAUAAAUUCACCCUCUCACCCUUGCAGCAGCUUGUAGAAAGCCUUCCAAGCCAAUGUAACUGAGUUGGGGAGCAGUGCUGUGUGCAACCCAUUGCUGGUGGGUCAAUUUUUUCUAUCUCUAUUAUUUUACAAGGGUCACUUCUUCCAUCUAGCCUGAAGGAAGAAUUGCUAGUGAAAUUGAGGGAAGCUAUUAAACCUAUCAGGUUGCAGUGGCUAGAGAUGAGAGAUAUGCACAAAGAGGCCACAAAAGCCACUGUUGCUUGGCCAUAUGGCCAUUUAGCCACUGUUAGAAAACACCACUGUAAAGGCUCCAGAAACAUCUAAAAAGUGAUUUGCACAAGCUAUGAUAACAGUAUUCAAACAGCUGUAAUGUAUCUCAUCUUGAACUACUCCAAGGACCAACACUGUUUGCAUCUUAAUCUAGAUACUCUUGGACCUGUCCUUUUCUGCAAGGCAAGAUUUCUUGUUCUUCAUAGGACACCUACGAAGUUGGGUGGCUUUUCCAGGCAUUGGUGUCAUAGGAAAUCUCCUUGGCCAUGUCUGGGGUUUUUGGAACCUGUCUGUGUCAUUGUGGCUCCUUUGCCAGCAAAAAGUGCAGGGAAAGGCUGAAGAGCUCAUCAUUCAUCUUUUUCCUUCUGUCUUAUAAAUAUUAGCUCAGAUUUUAACUUGCAGAAGAGAAGUACCUCAAUAGUUCUCCCAAUCACAUUUUAUGCCAGACUCUUCUGAUAUGACCUUAUCAGAGAUCACUGGGCAGAAUGCCUGCUUAACAAAACUCACUGCAGAUACAUCUGAGUGCUGCCAUUUGCAGGAUACCAGAUCCAUGCCUCGGCUGUUUCAGAUGACAUACAUAUUUAAUCCGUGGCAGCAUAUUAGCAGAUCAGACUUAGAUUAAUCAGGCUGAAGGUAACUUUUGGAUCUUUUCCACAAUUAGGUCAGAGAUAAAUAUGGUAGAUUGUUAUGUGCCACAACACAAGCAAGCACUGGGCAGCAGGUGAAAUUGUCAGGGACAUCAGCCAAAGAGAUACUGUGAUGAGAUUAAGGGAAGUGAAGUCAAUAGCAUCUUUGUGUAUCUUCAUGUGUGUGCACAGAUGUGAUUUGAGCUUUUCAAUUUAAAGAAGCCGCUAAUUAACACUGAAUUUUUCUCUGCUGUUAUAGCAGUGAACGUACAAAUGUGCUUUAUGCUAAAAUAUCCUUUUCUAUUUCCUUAGUGUUGUAAAAUAGGUCCUGCCCACUGAUACUGAUAGAGAAAGCUGGAGCUAGAAUAGCAACACAGCUGUUCAAAACCAAGGGGAAGUCCUUAGUUUUGAGGCUCAGUAAUGAUUGAAAUACAGUCAGCAAACAAAAGGGAAUUAGUACCUUUAAAAUGCAUUUAGGGUGUCCAAUAUAAAAUGUGACAGUGGAUAUUUGUGGGACAAUUUUCUGCAAAUUAAAAAUUGAGCUAAGGGUAAUAAAUCAAAGGAAAUAUUUAAAAGCUCUCUAGCCUUUACCAGUACCCCUUGGAAAGGGCUUCUAAAGUACUAUUCUACACACACAUUCUGAUGAGAGAAAAUUUUGAUUAAAAUAUUAAAAUGUUUUUGG
ensembl:lncRNA